rnacentral:rRNA from 1 species
AUUGAACGCUGGCGGCAGGCCUAAUACAUGCAAGUCGAACGCAGUGGGGACGGGUGAGUAACACGUGGGUAACCUCCCAUCAGAGGGGAUAACACUUGGCAACAGGUGCUAAACUGAUACUGAUGGAUGGACACGCGGUGGAUUAGCUCGUUGGUGAGGUAACGUCGCACCAAGUCCACGAUGCAUAGACGGCCUGAGAGGGUGAUCGGCCACACUGGGACUGAGACACGGCCCAGACUCCUACGGGAGGCAGCAGUAGGGAAUCUUCGGCAAUGGGCGAAAGUCUGACCGAGCAACGCCGCGUGAGUGAAGAAGGUUUUCGGAUCGUAAAGCUCUGUUGUUAGAGAAGCGGUAACUAACCAGAAAGGGACGGCUAACUACGUGCCAGCCGCCGCGGUAAUAC